rnacentral:rRNA from 1 species
GUCUGGUUGAACUCAAAAAUCAGUUUAACCUGCCCACUGACAAUUUUUAAAGGCCGCGGUAUAAUGACCGUGCGAAGGUAGCAUAAUAAUUAGUUUUUUAAUUGAAAACUGGUAUGAAAGGUUGGACAAAAAGUGAACUAUCCCAAAAUCUAUAAAUUGAAUUUAACCUUUAAGUGAAAAGGCUUAAAUAAACUUAAAAGACGACAAGACCCUAUAAAACUUUCAUACAAAGAUUAAAAUUUUUUUAAUUAUAAGUUUACCAAAAAGCAUUAUUCCUUAUAUAUUUCGUUGGGGCGACGGAAGUAAAUAAAAACCUGCUUCUCUUAUUUAUACAAUUAUUUUUGUUUUAUUUUGACCCUUCAAAAGAAGAUUAAAAGAAAAAGUUACUUUAGGGAUAACAGCGUUAUUUUUUUUUAGAGUCCUUAUCAACAAAAAAGUUUGCGACCUCGAUGUUGAAUUAAAGUUUCUUUAUAAUGCAGCAGUUAUAAAAGUAGGUCUGUUCGACCUUUAAAACUUUACAUGAUUUGAGUUCAAACCGGCGUAAG